UACGAAGGAUGCGAGCGUUAUCCGGAUUCAUUGGGUUUAAAGGGAGCGUAGGUGGCCUUAUAAGUCAGUGGUGAAAUCUCGCAGCUCAACUGCGAAAUUGCCAUUGAUACUGUAGGGCUUGAGUACAGUUGCUGUGGGCGGAAUAUGACAUGUAGUGGUGAAAUACAUAGAGAUGUCAUAGAACACCGAUUGCGAAGGCAGCUCACAAAACUGUAACUGACACUGAGGCUCGAAAGUGCGGGGAUCAAACAGG
rnacentral:rRNA from 1 species